rnacentral:ncRNA from 1 species
GUAAACUGUAUUUUCUUAAUCUGAGGGCGCACCAUUGAAUAGUUAUGGGUAAGUGCCGUCCAGGGCAUGGUGGAAGUCCGAAGCGCCUCUGACGUGCAAAUCGAUCGUCGGAACCGAGUGUAAGGGCGAAAGACCAAUCGAGCCGUCUUGUAGCUGGUUCCCUUCUAAAUUUCCCUCAGGAUA